rnacentral:rRNA from 1 species
AUGUGUAAGUAUAAAUAAUUUUACUUUGAAACUGCGAAUGGCUCAUUAUAUCAGUUAUAGUUUAUUAGAAAUAYUUUACUACUUGGAUAACCGUAGUAAUUCUAGGGCUAAUACAUGAVUAAAWCCUCAACUUCGGAAGAGGUGUGUUUAUUAGUAUGAAAACCAUAUAUCUUCGGAUAUAAUAGUGAGUAAUAAUAACCUUUCGUAUCGUAUGUCGUAAGAUAACGAUAGUUCUUUCAAGUUUCUGCCCUAUCAGCUUUCGAUGGUAGUAUAUGGGACUACCAUGGCAGUAACGGGUAACGAAGAAUUUGGGUUCGAUUUCGGAGAGGGAGCCUGAGAGAUGGCUACCACAUCCAAGGAAGGCAGCAGGCGCGUAAAUUACCCAAUCCUGACAUAGGGAGGUAGUGACAAUAAAUCACAAUGCGGAACUAUUUA